AGUCGGUAGAGCAUGAGACUCUUAAUCUCAGGGUUGUGGGUUCAUGCCCCACAUUGGGCG
rnacentral:tRNA from 1 species